rnacentral:rRNA from 1 species
UACGAAGGGGGCUAGCGUUGUUCGGAAUUACUGGGCGUAAAGCGCACGUAGGCGGAUAUUUAAGUCAGGGGUGAAAUCCCGGGGCUCAACCCCGGAACGGCCUUUUGAUACUGGAUGUCUUUGAGUCCGGAAGAGGUGAGUGGAAUUGCGAGUGUAGAGGUGAAAUUCGUAGAUAUUCGCAGGAACACCAGUGGCGAAGGCGGCUCACUGCCCCGGUACUGACGCUGAUGUGCGAAA